rnacentral:rRNA from 1 species
GACGAACGCUGGCGGCGUGCUUAACACAUGCAAGUCGAACGGAAAGGCCCUGCUUUUGUGGGGUGUUCGAGUGGCGAUCGGGCGAGUAACCCGUGAGUAACCUGCUCUUGACUUUGGGAUAACUUCAGGAAACUGGGGCCAAUACCGGAUAGGAGCUUCUGUCGCAUGGUCGGGGUUGGAAAGUUUCGGCGGAUGGGGAUGGAAUCGCGGCCUAUCAGUUUGUUGGUGGGGUAGUGGCUUAUCAAGGCUUUGACGGGUUGCCGGCCUGAGAGGGUGACCGGCCACAUUGGGACUGAGAUACGGCCGAGACUCGUACGGGAGGCAGCAGUGGGGAAUAUUGCACAAUGGGCGGAAGCCUGAUGCAGCAACGCCGCGUGCGGGAUGACGGCCUUCGGUGUGUAAACCGCAUUCGCCUGUGACGAAGCGUGAGUGACGGUAAUGGGUAAAGAAGCACCGGCUAACUACGUG